UGGGGAAUAUUGGACAAUGGGCGCAAGCCUGAUCCAGCCAUGCCGCGUGAGUGAUGAAGGCCUUAGGGUUGUAAAGCUCUUUUGUCCGGGACGAUAAUGACGGUACCGGAAGAAUAAGCCCCGGCUAACUUCGUGCCAGCAGCCGCGGUAAUACGAAGGGGGCUAGCGUUGCUCGGAAUCACUGGGCGUAAAGGGCGCGUAGGCGGCCGAUUAAGUCGGGGGUGAAAGCCUGUGGCUCAACCACAGAAUUGCCUUCGAUACUGGUUGGCUUGAGACCGGAAGAGGACAGCGGAACUGCGAGUGUAGAGGUGAAAUUCGUAGAUAUUCGCAAGAACACCAGUGGCGAAGGCGGCUGUCUGGUCCGGUUCUGACGCUGAGGCGCGAAAGCGUGGGGAGCGAACAGGAUUAGAUACC
rnacentral:rRNA from 1 species